rnacentral:rRNA from 1 species
UACGUAGGGGGCAAGCGUUGUCCGGAAUUAUUGGGCGUAAAGAGCGUGUAGGCGGUCCGGUAAGUCAGCUGUGAAAGUCAAGGGCUCAACCCUUGAAAGCCGGUGGAUACUGUCGAACUAGAGUACGGAAGAGGCGAGUGGAAUUCCUGGUGUAGCGGUGAAAUGCGCAGAUAUCAGGAGGAACACCAAUUGCGAAGGCAGCUCGCUGGGACGUGACUGACGCUGAGACGCGAAAGCGUGGGGAGCAAACAGG